AAAAUUAGAAUACGGAGAUAAGUACGGCCCCUGUGCAAGGAUGACAUGCAAAAUCAUGAAGCAUUCCAUAUUUUU
rnacentral:snRNA from 1 species